rnacentral:rRNA from 1 species
UAGCCGUAAACGAUACUCGCUAGGUGUCGGCCACGGUGCGACCGUUGUCGGUGCCGUAGGGAAGCCGUGAAGCGAGCCACCUGGGAAGUACGGCCGCAAGGCUGAACUUAAGGAUUGGCGGGGGAGCACCGCGACGGGAGGAGCGUGCGGUUCAAUUGGAUUCAACGCCGGACAACUCACCCAGGAGCGACGGUUACAUGAAGGCCAGGCUGAGGUUUACAUGACUAGCUGAGAGGAGGUGCAUGGCGUAGACGUCU